GAGAGGGAAGGAAGGUACUAAUAUAGAAGAGAGAGGGGAGACUGAUGGGAAGGAAGGUACUAAUAUAGAAGAGAGAGGGGAGACUGACUAGAAGGAAGGUACUAAUAUAGAAGAUGGAGAGGGGAGACUGACUAGAAGGAAGGUACUAAUAUAGAAGAGAUGGGAGACUGACUAGAAGGAAGGUACUAAUAUAGAAGAGAGAGGGGGGACUGACGGGAAGGAAGGUACUAAUAUAGAAGAGAGAGGGAGACUGACUGGGAAGGAAGGUACUAAUAUAGAAGAGAGAGGGGAGACUGAUGGGAAGGAAGGUACUAAUAUAGAAGAGAGAGGGAGACUGACUAGAAGGAAGGUACUAAUAUAGAAGAUGGAGAGGGGAGACUGACUAGAAGGAAGGUACUAAUAUAGAAGAGAGAGGGGAGACUGACUAGAAGG